rnacentral:piRNA from 1 species
UGAGAUGCUCACAUUGGGUAAGCUACUGCU